rnacentral:rRNA from 1 species
AUUGAACGCUGGCGGCAGGCCUAACACAUGCAAGUCGAGCGGGGUUUUCGGACCUAGCGGCGGACGGGUGAGUAAUGCGUAGGAAGCUACCCGACAGAGGGGGAUACCAGUUGGAAACGACUGUUAAUACCGCAUAAUGUCUACGGACCAAAGUGUGGGACCUUCGGGCCACAUGCUAUCGGAUGCGCCUACGUGGGAUUAGCUAGUUGGUGAGGUAAUGGCUCACCAAGGCGACGAUCCCUAGCUGGUUUGAGAGGAUGAUCAGCCACACUGGAACUGAGACACGGUCCGGACUCCUACGGGAGGCAGCAGUGGGGAAUAUUGGACAAUGGGCGCAAGCCUGAUCCAGCCAUGCCGCGUGUGUGAAGAAGGCCUUCGGGUUGUAAAGCACUUUCAGUAGGGAGGAAGCGUUGUGUGUUAAUAGUACACAGCGUUGACGUUACCUACAGAAGAAGCACCGGCUAACUCUGUGCCAGCAGCCGCCGUAAAAC